AAGUAAAGUGGGGGCAGCUGUGUAGAUCCAAUGGCUUAGCAUAGGUAGUGUGUGACUCCGUGUCCUAUCUUUCUUAUAUAUCUUCUACAUAUACUAUACAGCUGGUUAGCAGAUAUAUGAAGAAGCAGGCAGCCCCCACCACGAUGCCUAGCCUAUCUCUCCCCCAAAACCUUCCAUUCCGUUAUACCUUUCUCACCCGAAAGAAUCAAAUUAAAUCAUUGUGUUCAUCAUAUCAUAUCAUAAUGCUCCUCAUCCAUCAGAUUCCCAUUCCACUCAAUUUUUUUUAAGUCUUUGUUUCCCCUCAAUCCGAGCCUCAUAUUCCGGGAAUAUAUAAAGAGACUUGCUUUAUGAUGCCGGCCAUGGCCGCCACUCAUCUGUGAUCGAUCUAACCCAUAUGGGAAGCUUCAUCUUUGAGGGGAAUGUUGUCUGGCUCGAAGCCGCCAUUAAUCGUAUCUCCUCCGAUCCAUCUUUAAUGGUGUUUUCGGACCAGGCUUCAUUCCCCUCAAUCACUCCUUCCACCGAUUCAUCACUGCCUGCUAGCUUAGCUUCUUUAAUUUUCUUCAAAUUCAAGAUUGAUUUGGGUUAUCUGAAGUUUUGCCCACAGUUUCAUGUGAAUUAUUGAAGUUUGUUUUGGAUUUUGCAGGGAGCUGAGGAAUAUGUAUUGGCAUAAUGAUGAAGGGCUUUGACCCUACCUUUCUGUUCUUCUUCAAUUCUUUGUUGUUGAGGUUGAAGACAAUAAAUUGAUGAUUAUAUUGCUGGAUGGCAUGGGUCUAGCACGUACAAUCGCAGUAGAAAUUAAUGGCAGAGUGGGGAGUGGACUAAAGAUCUGAUCCUUCGGGCAGUCAAAUGUAUGAUCUCCUGAGCUAAGGGAAUGAAGUAAUAAAUGUGCCAAAAAUCUUAUGGUCAAGCGGUAUAAGUAUGGUUCUCUCAAAUGAGAUAUCACAAGUUUGAAUCUCAAGUAUAUAUGGGUAAAUAUUACAUUUUAAUAGAGUCAAUAGUAGUGAUUAGGAUGAUAUUUGCAUGGAUUUGUAUACCCAUUAAUCUUAAAUUUGAUUUGGACUAGACAGGGAGUGUAAUAGGAUUGUUUACGCAACACUUUGGCUACAAAAAAACUAACACACAAAGAAUACGUAGACGUCCACUUAGCUUGCCGGUUUGUGCAUGACCAAAUCAUCAGUGAUGGAAGGUGUUUGGGUGCUGAGUUGAGAUGAUUGGGAACAACGCGGAAGUUACGUACUACACACAGAAGCUGACUGCCACAAACAUAUCUGAAGUUGACAACACCUAAGCCUAUCAAAUUCUAUACCACUUAGUCAGUACACUUCACCCCUAUGGAAAGAAAAUAAUACUAUGUGUAUUUUCAAUUUUUACUCAUAACUUUUAUUUUCAAUAUCAAUUUUUUUUAUCUAAA